GGGGAAUUUUCCGCAAUGGGCGAAAGCCUGACGGAGCAAUACCGCGUGAGGGAUGACGGCCUAUGGGUUGUAAACCUCUUUUUUCAGGGAGGAAUCAAUGACGGUACCUGAAGAAUAAGCAUCGGCUAACUCCGUGCCAGCAGCCGCGGUAAGACGGAGGAUGCAAGUGUUAUCCGGAAUCACUGGGCGUAAAGCGUCUGUAGGUGGUCAAAUAAGUCAACUGUUAAAUCUUGAGGCUCAACCUCAAAAUCGCAGUCGAAACUAUUAGACUAGAGUAUAGUAGGGGUAAAGGGAAUUUCCAGUGGAGCGGUGAAAUGCCUAGAGAUUGGAAGGAACACCGAUGGCGAAGGCAC
rnacentral:rRNA from 1 species